AACUGAUACUACCUGCGGGAACCUGCGGAAGGAUCAUUACCUAGAGUUUGUAGACUUCGGUCUGCUACCUCUUACCCAUGUCUUUUGAGUACCUUCGUUUCCUCGGCGGGUCCGCCCGCCGAUUGGACAACAUUCAAACCCUUUGCAGUUGCAAUCAGCGUCUGAAAAAACAUAAUAGUUACAACUUUUAACAAUGGAUCUCU
rnacentral:misc_RNA from 1 species